rnacentral:misc_RNA from 1 species
AAAGGUCUUUCGGAUCUCCUCUGGGGUCUUUCCCUUGAUCAUGUCAGCUACAGUCUGACAUGUCAGGUCUAACAAGCUCUUGAUGUUCAGAAAAUUUGCAGCCAGAAUGAGAUCGAAAAGAGUGGCCUGGUCGACAUUAACGAAGUCGCGGUCCCAGGCUUUGAGGUCGUCUUCGGAGAGGCGGUGAUCGGGGGAGGAAGCGUCGACGUGCUUGUGGCAGUACUCGAUGACCUUGGCGA